UUCGGGGGGACGGUUACCACGGUGUGAUUCAUGACUGGGGUGAAGUCGUAACAAGGUAGCCGUAGGGGAACCUGCGGCUGGAUCACCUCCUUAAUCGACGACA
rnacentral:rRNA from 1 species